AAUUUGUGAACGUGGUGUUUUCCUUCAGUUUGUUCUGCUUACUCACUGGAAGCCACAGUUUCUUGAAACAUGAAUGAAGGAACAACUGAGCAUUCUGAAUGAAGCAUGCAGGGUAACAGAAAAAAGCAUUAAGAGCUGUAAACUUGGAAGGGAAGACAGGAGCCAUCUGAAACCUGGAAAUAUCCACCCCAGAUGAGGAAACUUGGAUUAAGAAAUACUAAGAAAUUUGACCAAAACAACACUUAAAUACUACAGCACUAGACUAUCCCUGAUUGACUGAAUCCACGGCUGCAGUUGCACGGAUACAGAGG